rnacentral:sRNA from 1 species
CCCCUCUUUCGGCUCUGCGUGUCCCUCUGCGUGCCCCAGUCUGUGUUCCGGAACUUUGACGUCGAUGGGGAUGGCCACAUCUCACAGGAAGAAUUCCAGAUCAUCCGUGGGAACUUCCCUUACCUCAGCGCCUUUGGGGACCUCGACCAGAACCAGGAUGGCUGCAUCAGCAGGGAGGAGAUGGUCUCCUAUUUCCUGCGCUCCAGCUCCGUGUUGGGGGGCCGCAUGGGCUUCGUACACAACUUCCAGGAGAGCAACUCCUUGCGCCCUGUCGCCUGCCGCCACUGCAAAGCCCUGAUCCUGGGCAUCUACAAGCAGGGCCUCAAAUGCCGAGCCUGUGGUGUGAACUGCCACAAGCAGUGCAAGGAUCGCCUGUCAGUCGAGUGUCGGCGCAGGGCCCAGAGUGUGAGCCUGGAGGGGUCUGCACCCUCACCCUCACCCACCCACAGCCACCAUCACCGCGCCUUCAGCUUCUCUCUGCCCCGCCCUGGCAGGCGAGGCUCCAGGCCUCCAGAGAUCCGUGAGGAGGAGGUACAGACGGUGGAGGAUGGGGUGUUUGACAUCCACUUGUAAUAGAUGGUGAGUCCUCCCACAGCUGGCACCAGAGCUCCCCACUGAGGGCUGGGGUGGGGGUGGGGAGUAUCAGGGAAAUGGGUGCUUUAUCCAAAUGGCUCCAAGCCAGGUGGGCUACCACCUUGUUGUUGGGGGGGUGUCUUCCUCACAACCUGUUUUUCUCUUCCUAGCUGUGGUUGGAUCAAGGACUCAUUCCUGCCUUGGAGAAAAUACUUCAACCAGAGCAGGGAGCCUGGGGGUGUUGGGACAGGAGGCUGGGGCUGGGGGUGGGAUAUGAGGGUGGCAUGCAGCUGAGGGCAGGGCCAGGGCUGGUGUCCCUAAGGUUGUACAGACUCUUGUGAAUAUUUGUAUUUCC